UGCUGCGAACACACCUCUCAAAAUACGUCAAUUUAAUCGUCAUUUCAAUGCGACAUGUUGUCAAAAAGCUAACAGCACAGCAGUUGACAGAUCAGGAAUCAAUAAAGAAGUGCUUAGCAGAAUGUGAGACAAGGAUAGAAAUUGGAAUCCCUAUCCAAGACUUAUCUACCUGCUUAUAAUGGGACUGGCAACCCAGAAAGGCAGGAAGCUGAAAGCACAGCAACGCAUGAGGAAGCAGGCCAGCCAGUUUACUUACAGUUACAUGAGGACAGCUGAUACUACAGCUGAUACUAGAUGAACUCUAUAUUCUUGUGAAAGGGUUGAUGUUACCAAGGACAGGAGGAAAGUUACUGGCUAAUCUCAGGAGUUGAGUUGAAAAUCCAUCUUAUAUAUUGGAGAAAAAAGUCAUUAAUUUCCAAGUCUAUUUAUGCAUGUGAUUCCUGACGAGCUGCUAUGUUGAUGUCAGCAUUGUCUGUCCUUUAAGAUAAGUAGCCAUAAAGAUUUUGAUACUAUUUUGAAUAUAUUUAUCUUUUCAA